UUCAAAAAUAUUUUAGAAACCACAUAGUUUUAUCUUUAAAAAGUCAUGUUUUUUCUACUCUGAGUUGUUUUAGUACCUCAAGAUCAAACUUUACCCUUGCCUUAUAAACAAUUGUCUUCUAGAUAUCAAUUUUAAAGUUUUAGAGCUUUAUUUGUACAACUUUGAUCUUAAAUUUCCCUAAAAUCACAAAUAAUUUUUUAUUUCAAUUAUUUUAAUCUUCUUUAUGUUAUCUUCACUAAAUUAUAGUCCUAUUAAGGUAGUGGAUUUAUUAUUUUUUUUUUAAUAAAAAAUUAUUAAAAGUUUUGUAAAAUAUGAACAUGUUAGCUAGAAUUAAGUUAUAAGCUACUGAGACAUGUAAAAA
rnacentral:lncRNA from 1 species